CCUCUCAGACAAAUGCCUCGU
rnacentral:snRNA from 1 species